rnacentral:rRNA from 1 species
AUACGAGAAGACCCUAUGGAGCUUUAGACGUCAGAGCAGCCCAUGUAAAGCACCCCUUAACAAAGGAAAAAACCAAAUGAAGCCUGCCCUAAUGUCUUUGGUUGGGGCGACCGCGGGGAAAUACAAAACCCCCAUGUGGAGUAGGAAUACACAUUCCUAAACCCAAGAGCUCCCGCUCUAAUGAACAGAAAUUCUGACCAAUAAGAUCCGGCACACGCCGAUCAACGGACCGAGUUACCCUAGGGAUAACAGCGCAAUCCCCUUAAAGAGCCCUUAUCGACAAGGGGGUUUACGACCUCGAUGUUGGAUCAGGACAUCCUAAUG